CGAUUAAUGCUGCGUCUGGGUCGGGUUCGGGUUCGCGUUCGGGUUCGAGCAAAUUUGCAGGAAGGGCCCACCAUGUCUUUGAGCCGUUACACCUCUUGACAUACGCAAUCAAACUAACACUGCCAAGUGCGUCAAGGGAGCUUUCUUCAAUGAAAUAAUUAAUUAAUUCUUAAAAGAAAAAAAAAACUAAAAAUGCACGAAGGGUUUUACAGAGGUACCUAUUGUUUAGUAUCACGUGCGAUGCAUGUGACGAUCUUAACAAGUUCUCCCUUAUCGACGAAGUACAGAACUCCAAUAUCGAUCACCAAUUAUAUUGGCAAUAAA
rnacentral:lncRNA from 1 species